rnacentral:lncRNA from 1 species
AGACGUUCAGUUCGUUUCCCCUACAAAGGAAGAGGAGACCGGAGACGGGACGUUUGCUUUGUUGGCCGAACUCUUCGGCUGCUGGGGAUUUCCUUCAAACGCCAUUAACUUCUCACACUCAGCAGCCACUCGGGAGUUGGGAAACAAUCUCCUGGGGUUUGUGCUGGCGUGAUUAAGGAAAGAGGCCACUUACAGGCCUUUGUCUAAAGCCUCGCGCCGGUGGUGGCUGGGGUCAGGAAAGCUGGGAGGUUCAACUACGGGCGAGAAAAUUGGGGCACUUUCCACGUCUCUCCCGAAAAUAAAAGAAAGGAUGCCGGGCACGGCGGCUCACGCCUGUAAUCCCAGCACUUUGGGAGGCCGAGGCGGGCGGAUCACCUGAGGUCAGGAAUUCGACACCAGCCUGGGCAACACGGUUCUGAAGCAACACUGUAACUGCUGAAUGCUUCUGGCUGCUUCUUUCCACAGUAAAAGAUGAAAAGAAAUAUCUUUUAUUGAGAUAGACUGAGGUCCAGGAAAAACAAGUGCAACUUCAUGGUCCUUUUCUUCAUAUUCUGGAAUACAAGAAAACGUGUAAAUGUUUGCAAAUUCAGGUGCUAA